rnacentral:rRNA from 1 species
AACGAACGCUGGCGGCAGGCUUAACACAUGCAAGUCGAGCGCCCCGCAAGGGGAGCGGCAGACGGGUGAGUAACGCGUGGGAAUCUACCCAUCUCUACGGAAUAACGCAUGGAAACGUGUGCUAAUACCGUAUACGUCCUUCGGGAGAAAGAUUUAUCGGAGAUGGAUGAGCCCGCGUUGGAUUAGCUAGUUGGUGGGGUAGAGGCCUACCAAGGCGACGAUCCAUAGCUGGUCGGAGAGGAUGAUCAGCCACACUGGGACUGAGACACGGCCCAGACUCCUACGGGAGGCAGCAGUGGGGAAUAUUGGACAAUGGGCGCAAGCCUGAUCCAGCCAUGCCGCGUGAGUGAUGAAGGCCCUAGGGUUGUAAAGCUCUUUCACCGGUGAAGAUAAUGACGGUAACCGGAGAAGAAGCCCCGGCUAACUUCGUGCCAGCCGCCGCCGUAAUAC